rnacentral:rRNA from 1 species
GACGAACGCUGGCGGCGUGCUUAACACAUGCAAGUCGAACGCAGUGGCGAACGGGUGAGUAACGCGUAAUCAACCUGCCCUUCAGCGGGGGACAACAGUUGGAAACGACUGCUAAUACCCCAUACUGAAGGAGGGGAUUGCGUCGGAUUGGCUGGUUGGGGGGGUAACGGGCCACCAAGGCGAUGAUCAGUAGGCGGACUGGGAGGAUGAACGGCCACAUUGGGACUGAGACACGGCCCAGACUCCUACGGGAGGCAGCAGUGGGGAAUCUUCCGCAAUGGACGAAAGUCUGACGGAGCAACGCCGCGUGAGUGAUGACGGCCUUCGGGUUGUAAAGCUCUGUUAAUCGGGACGCGGUACCGGAAUAGAAAGCCACGGCUAACUACGUGCCAGCAGCCGCGGUAAUAC